CUCUCCACUAUUAGCCUAUGACCCUGCCACAUACCCCUCUCCGAGAAACACCCAAGAAUGAUCAAUAAACAUUAAAAAAAAAAGAUAAAAGAAAAAAAAAGAUAAGUUCCGUAAGACAAGAGAUACUCUCAGAAAAAAGUCAUUGGCUUUAGAAACUGUACAAAACGACCUAAGCCAAACACAGCAGCAAAUAAAGGAAAUGAAAGAGAUGUAUCAAAGUGCAGAAGCUAAAGUCAGUAAAUCCACUGGAAAGUGGAACUGUGUGGAAGAGAGGAUAUGUCAACUCCAACGUGAAAAUCCGUGGCUUGAACAGCAACUAGUUGAUGUUCAUCAGAAAGAGGAUCAUAAAGAGAUAGUAAUUAAUAUCCAAAGAGGCUUUAUUGAGAGUAGAAAGAAAGACCUCAUGCUAGAAGAGAAAAAUAAGAAGCUAAUGAAUGAAUAUGAUCAUUUAAAAGAAAGUCUCUUUCAAUAUGAGAGACAGAAAGCAGAAACAGUAGUGGUUAUGAGACAACUUCAACAAGAAGUGGCUGAUUCCCUUAAAAAAUUAACUAUGUUAGAGUCUCCACUGGAAGGUACAUCAUGUUGUCACAUUAAUUUGGAUGAGACACAGGCCUCAAAGAAGAAAUUAUUUCAAGUGGAAAGUCAACCUGAAGAAAAAAAUGAAGAAUUAAGGAAAGUUUUUGUGUUAGUAUCAUCACUGGAGUAUAAUGUGAAUCAAAUAAGAAAGAAAAAUCAUGAAUUAGAAGAAGAGGCAACUGGAUAUAAGAAACUCCUGGAAAUGACAAUAAAUAUGUUAAUGUAUUUGGAAAUGAAGACAUCGAUUGCCAUGGAGACUUAAAUACAGAUCAACUGAAAAUGAAUAUUCUGAUU
rnacentral:lncRNA from 1 species